UUUUUUUUUUUAAAAAAAAAAUUUAAUUUCUAGUUUCAUUUAGGAAACAUAUGGCCCCGGAUGAACUUAAUUGUCAGCUACUAUAGACAAGAUAUCCAAGUAGUGAAAAGAGAGUAAGCAUAAAGUAUAAAGAAAAAGAAAAGUUGACAUUGCCUCUGGGAUGCAAAACUCCCCAUCUGCUUCUGACAAAAGAAACCUCACAUUUUCCACUAGCAUAAACAGAACCCACCGCACUGGGAGUCUGCCCCACAUACGUCAGAUUCUGUCAAUGGGCUCAGUUCGGU
rnacentral:misc_RNA from 1 species